rnacentral:rRNA from 1 species
ACACGUAGGUAAUCUACCCUCAGGACUGAGAUAACCCCGGGAAACUGGGGCUAAUACCAGAUAGAUAAAAGAUACUGGAAUGUUCUUUUAUCCAAAGCUUUUGUGCCUGAGGAUGAGCCUGCGCCCGAUUAGGUAGUUGGUGGGGUAAUGGCCCACCAAGCCUGCGAUCGGUACGGGCAGUGGGAGCUGUAGCCCGGAGUUGGGGACUGAGACAAGGCCCCAGGCCCUACGGGGCGCAGCAGGCGCGAAACCUCUGCAAUGCGGGAAACCGUGACAGGGGGAUUCCAAGUGCUCAUGCAUUGCAUGGGCUGUUCUU